rnacentral:lncRNA from 12 species
AUGGCUCCAUCGUCAUGUAGUCAGAAGGACGGCACAGGCCGUUUGCCUCAGGUCAAUGAAUGGCAGCACCUGGAAAACGAAACACGGUCUUUCCAUCUGGACAGACAAAAAAUAUUUGCGCUGAUUGUGGCUGGUUCGGCUCCGAAGCAGAUUUCUGGGGAGAGUUGGGAAAACAAUCAGAUGAGGGCUCUGGUUUCCAAAGGUGGGGUGGCGUGGGGGAACAGGAAGGUCUCUGAGCCCUGCGCCUGCACACGCUGUGCUCAGGGAUGGAGGGCCCAGCACCAACCCCACCAGCGGCAAAGGGCCCCGGGAGGAGUUCCCAGGCCACAUGGUAGUUGGGGAGAGUGGGAGGUGGGCCAGGCCACAUGUCUCCACCUACUGAGGACAGAGAUGCUGCUGGGAUGGGCUCUCCCAUCACUUUCGUGCUGUGCAUUCGUUACUAGCCAGCAGGUGCUCUGCGCCCUCUGCCCUGUGCGCCGGAAGGGGACAGACCUGGAUAGCCUUCAGCAGGUGUGGCAGUCAACUUCACGCAUCACGUGGCCAAGCCUCAGGUGCCCAGAUGUUUGGUCAGACAGUGCUCCGGGUGUCCUCCACAAGGGUGUUUCAGGACGAGAUGAGCGUCUGAAUCUGCACACUGAGAAAAGCAGGUUGCCUUCCCCCUGGGGCAGGUGGGCCUCACCGAUCAGCGGGAGGUGUGGAUGGAACAGAGCGGGUGGGGGAGCAUCUGCCCUCUGCCUGUUUCCGAACUGGGACGUCGGCCUGGGACAUCUUACCCGGUGGUUCCCCUGGCUCUCAGCUUGCACAGUGCAGCUCCUUUUUUAUUUUUUUAAAGAUUUUAUUUAUUUAUUCAUGAGAGACACACAGAGAGAGGCAGAGACACAGGCAGAGGGAGAAGCAGGCUACCUGCAGGGAGCCCGACAUGGGACUCGAUCCCGAGACUCUAGGAACACACCCCGGGCUGAAGGCUGUGUUAAACCGCUGAGCCACCUGGGCUGCCCACACAGUGCAACUCCUGGGACUUGCCAGCCUCCGCCGUCACAUGAGCCCACACUCCACCGUGCACACAUGUCUAUGUUUAUAUCUCCUCUGAGCUCUGUUUCUUCAGAGCAGCCCGGCUGA